rnacentral:miRNA from 1 species
UCUCUCUCUCUCUCUCUGUCUCUCUCUCUCUCUCUCACACACACACACACAUACAGAGAGAGAGAGAGGGAGGGAGAGAGAGAGAGAGAGAGAGAGAGAGA